CCUACGGGAGGCAGCAGUGGGGAAUAUUGGGCAAUGGGCGCAAGCCUGACCCAGCAACGCCGCGUGAAGGAAGAAGGAUUUCGGGUUGUAAACUUCUUUUAAGAGGGAAGAGCAGAAGACGGUACCUCUUGUAUAAGCCACGGCUAACUACGUGCCAGCAGCCGCGGUAAUACGUAGGUGGCAAGCGUUGUCCGGCUUUACUGGGUGUAAAGGGCGUGCAGCCGGGAAGACAAGUCAGAUGUGAAAGCCCGCGGCUCAACCGGGGAACUGCAUGUGAAACUGUGUUUCUGGAGUAACGGAGAGGGCAGCGGAAUUCAUGGGGUAGCGGAGAAAUGCGUAGAUAGAAGGAAGAAAACCAGUGGCGAAGGCGGAUGACUGGACGGCAACUGACGGUGAGGCGCGAAAGCGUGGGGAGCAAACAGGAUUAGAUACCCCUGUAGUC
rnacentral:rRNA from 1 species